GUGAGGGUCUGACCUGUAGAAAUGAGCACUGCAGCCGAAAAAAGGGCAAUCUCCUCUUCCGUUAACUGCAGUGAACACAGACUCUUGGCAAAGUCAAACACCGCACUGACCAGGUCGUCACAGCCUGCAGGAGUGUAGGACGUUUUGGAAGUCCAUGGAUGGCUGAAACGAAUGCACUGAAGAAAAGGCAUAUCUUUCACUGACCUUACAGCCUUCACAUGUGAUGACUCCAUAGUGGAUGCCUGAUGACUUGUCUCCACAGAUUUUGCAUGACUGUAGAUAAGUGCUCCUCUCAGAUGGCACCUUGACCACCUUGAUUCUAAGCGUGAUGUCACUUUUAAAGUGGACCAGGAUGUGCCUUUUACAAUUUUCACGAGACAUUGUGACAUUUUGUAACCUGUGGUUUUUGGAAGACAAAUAGACAUGAGAGACCAGCUGAGAGAGACAGAAGCACUGUAGAGACACACCUGACUCGAGACUGCAGUGUGAAGCUCAGAGCUUUGGAAAUGUGAGUGCAUCUCUAGUUAAGUGUGUGUGUGUCUGUGUGUGAGUGUGUGUGCUGCUAAUCUGACUGGGAGAAUAUAAGACUGACUAGUGUAUAUAUUAUAUGUUGGCCAGUUUAUAUCUUUUCUUCAUACUGUGAAUAUGUACACAUCUUAUGAAUGAAUAUGUACUUUUGUGCAAUAUUUAUUAAAAAAUAAAAAGUUUAUAUUUGCUGUAAAGGCACAUACACACUGUGAGCAAUGUAAUGGGAUUAACACACACCUAUACGUUAACUAGUCUGCGCUAUAGUAGCUCUUCCUCUCUCAGUCUAGCCCACUCGACUUAAGCCACAGUGUCUGUGGGUUUGGUGGUUAUGGGGGUGGGUGUUUGCCCCCAAUGACCCUCAGCUACGGGAAGCACAAGCAAGGUCGUGUCCAUGACAAUGUCACCUUGAGUUUAUUCCUCUGUAUGAAAAUUGAAGCAGUACUGACAACUGUAGCUAGAUUUUUUACCAGAAAACGAAAUACCAGGAGGAACAUUUUAGUGUUCUGCUGGGAUAGGUUAAUGCUGAUGGGUGCAAAAUAUUAAAAACAAAUGUUAAAAACUUGCAGUAAAUAUAAUUGAAUAAUUUAAUACAUUUUAAUGUAUUUUUUUUUUUUUUGGCAAAUUGAUUUACUUAUAAAUAUAAUCUUUAAUAUGUAUAUUUUUAUUUUACAGUACAAUAGUAAUAUUAUAAAAGUAAGUUAUUUUUAUAAAAAAUAAAAAAAAUUGUUUAAUUAUGCAGCC